rnacentral:tRNA from 1 species
GCGGGUGUAGCUCAGCUGGUAGAGCACAACCUUGCCAAGGUUGGGGCCACGGGUUCGAAUCCCGCCACCCGCUCCA